GUGGGGGCUUGUGUCUGAAGUAACGUGGGCUCACGGCUGCCACACACGACCCUCCCGUGGCGUUGCCACUUGUGUGGGGCACAAGUUCUGUCAUCUGGCCAAGGAGCCUGGCUCCUCAGUAGCAUUGCAGCCCUGUGACAGCCUGCCACGCGUGUCCCUCCCUAGCCCCAGCGCACACACUGGCCUCCUCACUCCCGCUUGCACCCAGGCGCUUCUCCCCUCCCUUCUGUGUGAAGACUGGUUUAGGACAGUGCUUCUCGACGUGCUCCGGACCAGCUGCACCAGUGGGGCACACAGGCCUCUCCCCACACCUGCAGGGUCAGGCGCUGGGGAGGGACCUGACGUCUGUAUGAUCACAAGCAUCCCUGGUGACCCUCAUGUGUGCUGACACUGAAACAUUCUGUAUGGCAUGCUUUUAAGGAGAAAAGUAACAUUUUAGAUAUUUUCUGUUUUCCUGACGAGCAUCAGACUUUAUUAGUACUGUGUUCGAUAGUAUUUUAUCUUCUUUGUGAAUUUUGGCAAGCAAAUUUUAUUUUAAAGCUCCUUGUUCCUUCUUUGUUAGUACUUUAACUUCUUUGUUUCAGGUAACCACACACACACACACGCACACACACACACACACACACACACACACACACAAGGAGCAGUGUGUUUGCUCUGAAUUCUAAUUGUUCAGGAUAGGAUAGGACAGAAAAGAAGUCUAAAUAUUUCUGGGAAUUAUAUUUAUUAUGUAAUUUAUGUAUGUGUGUGUAUGUAUCUCAGCAGACGGAAUAAAGCAUCUGCUCAAGUUGGACAUGUGUUCAUUACAAAAACUCUUAAGUAGGACUACACAGGCACAUCCUUAACAUAAUAAAAGGUAUCCAUAAAGUACAACAAAUGCCAUACUGACAGUGAAACAUUAAAAACUGCCCCUUGAGAUUAAAAAAGAAAAAAGAAGAGAAGGAUGCCCAUCAUCACAACUUCUGUUUGCGAAGACGUAAGAAGAAAAAAAAGGGUUCAGAAAAAAACACUUGAUAAAAUCUUAGCACUCUGUUAAAGAGAAGAAGAAGAAGAAGAGGAGGAGGAGGAGGAGGAGGAGGAGGAGGAGGAAGAAGAAGAAGAAGAAAAAUGGUAAACUAGCAAUAGAAGGAAAUAUCCUUAACCUGAAAAGAUUUACCAAAAGAAGAGAGAGAAAAGAAAUUCACAUGGAACGUUUUCUGAAAUGGGAAACAUGGAAGCGCGUGCAACACAGAGGUGCUCUGUUUCCACUUCUGUUCAACCUUAAAUUAUAAUUCCUAGACAGCAGAA